GACGAACGCUGGCGGCGUGCCUAAUACAUGCAGGUAGAACGCACAGUUUAUACCGUAGCUUGCUACACCAUAAACUGUGAGUUGCGAACGGGCGAGUAACGCGUAGGUAACCUGCCUGGUAGCGGGGGAUAACUAUUGGAAACGAUAGCUAAUACCGCAUAAUAUUGAUUAUUGCAUGAUAAUUGAUUGAAAGAUGCUAUUGCAUCACUACCAGAUGGACCUGCGUUGUAUUAGCUAGUAGGUGAGGUAACGGCUCACCUAGGCGACGAUACAUAGCCGACCUGAGAGGGUGAUCGGCCACACUGGGACUGAGACACGGCCCAGACUCCUACGGGAGGCAGCAGUAGGGAAUCUUCGGCAAUGGACGAAAGUCUGACCGAGCAACGCCGCGUGAGUGAAGAAGGUUUUCGGAUCGUAAAGCUCUGUUGUAAGAGAAGAACGGGUGUGAGAGUGGAAAGUUCACACUGUGACGGUAUCUUACCAGAAAGGGACGGCUAACUACGUG
rnacentral:rRNA from 1 species